AAACUAACUAGAAAUUAAAAGUAAACUGAACUAUGACUAAUUACAGUAAAUAAGACUAACAGAAGGAAUAAACUGAUUACUAACUAACUGCAGUAAAUAAAACUAAUAGUCCGAACAAAUUAACCACUGCAGUAAAUGAACUAAGUUAGGUAAGAGAAAAUCAAAGUGGAAAAGACUACUAACAAAAAGGAAUAAAACUUAACUAAGGAGAAUGCAUAGAAUAGAGAUAAAGUGAAAUGUACAGAACAAAAUAAAGAGGAAUAGAUAGAAC
rnacentral:lncRNA from 1 species